GAAAUGCGAUAAGUAGUGUGAAUUGCAGAAUUCAGUGAAUCAUCGAAUCUUUGAACGCACAUUGCGCCCUUUGGUAUUCCAAAGGGCAUGCCCGUUCGAGCGUCAUUUGUACCCUCAAGCUUUGCUUGGUGUUGGGCGUCUUGUCUCUAGCUUUGCUGGAGACUCGCCUUAAAGUAAUUGGCAGCCGGCCUACUGGUUUCGGAGCGCAGCACAAGUCGCACUCUCUAUCAGCAAAGGUCUAGCAUCCAUUAAGCCUUUUUUCAACUUUUGACCUCGGAUCAGGUAGGGAUACCCGCUGAACUUAAGC
rnacentral:misc_RNA from 1 species